rnacentral:rRNA from 1 species
UGGGGAAUUUUGGACGAAUUGGGCGAAAGCCUGAUCCAGCAAUGCCGCGUGUGUGAAGAAGGCCUUCGGGUUGUAAAGCACUUUUGUCCGGAAAGAAAUCCUUGGGCUCUAAUACAGUCGGGGGAUGACGGUACCGGAAGAAUAAGCACCGGCUAACUACGUGCCAGCAGCCGCGGUAAUACGUAGGGUGCAAGCGUUAAUCGGAAUUACUGGGCGUAAAGCGUGCGCAGGCGGUUUGCUAAGACCGAUGUGAAAUCCCCGGGCUCAACCUGGGAACUGCAUUGGUGACUGGCAGGCUAGAGUAUGGCAGAGGGGGGUAGAAUUCCACGUGUAGCAGUGAAAUGCGUAGAGAUGUGGAGGAAUACCGAUGGCGAAGGCAGCCCCCUGGG